rnacentral:misc_RNA from 1 species
AAGUCGUAACAAGGUUUCUGUAGGUGAACCUGCAGAAGGAUCAUUAAAAAUUUAUAUUCCGGAAAUUCGUUUCGUUUUCCCGAAUUAUUUGUAUUCAAAUCCCACUCUUUAUAAAUAUAUUAAUUAUAUAAAACAAAAACAAAAAGAAAACUUUCAACAAUGGAUCUCUUGGCUCUU